rnacentral:SRP_RNA from 1 species
UCGUGCUAGAUGGGGAGUCAGCGGUGCCUUGUAACCUGCAAUCCGCUAUAGCAGGGUUGAAUUCCUGGUCUAAGGCUUUAACAUGUGGAGCCUGACCUAUAUAAGUGGUGUUGAGAAUUGGGUCCCACGCAACGGAAAUUCAUGAACCCCGUCAGGUCCGGAAGGAAGCAGCGGUAAGUGAACACUUCCGUGUGCCGUGGAACAACCUGAUUUGAGCUAACUGUAUAGGUAACGUCCAUAUGUUACUGUCGAAGCCAGGUGCACGG